UACGUAGGUGACAAGCGUUGUCCGGAUUUACUGGGCGUAAAGAGCGCGCAGGCGGUCGUUCAAGUCGCGUGUGAAAGCCCCCGGCUCAACUGGGGAGGGUCAUUCGAUACUGAUCGACUCGAAGGCAGGAGAGGGUAGUGGAAUUCCCGGUGUAGUGGUGAAAUGCGUAGAUAUCGGGAGGAACACCAGUGGCGAAGGCGACUACCUGGCCUGUUCUUGACGCUGAGGCGCGAAAGCUAGGGGAGCAAACGGG
rnacentral:rRNA from 1 species